AUUGAACGCUGGCGGCAGGCUUAACACAUGCAAGUCGAGCGAGCGGCGGACGGGUGAGUAAUGUCUGGGAAACUGCCUGAUGGAGGGGGAUAACUACUGGAAACGGUAGCUAAUACCGCAUACCAUCAGAUGUGCCCAUAUGGGAUUAGCUAGUAGGUGGGGUAAUGGCUCACCUAGGCGACGAUCCCUAGCUGGUCUGAGAGGAUGACCGCCCCCACUGGAACUGGGCCACGGACCUGACUCCUACGGGAGGCCGCAGUGGGGAAUAGUGCACAAUGGGCGCAAGCCUGAUGCAGCCCUGCCGCGUGUGUGAAAGAGGCCUUCGGGUUGUAAAGCACUUUCAGCGAGGGGGCGUUACUCGCAGAAGAAGCACCGGCUAACUCCGUGCCAGCAGCCGCGGUAAUUC
rnacentral:rRNA from 1 species